AUGGCUCAGAUUGAACGCUGGCGGCAGGCCUAACACAUGCAAGUCGAGCGGCAGCACGGGUACUUGUACCUGGUGGCGAGCGGCGGACGGGUGAGUAAUGCCUAGGAAUCUGCCUGGUAGUGGGGGAUAACGUUCGGAAACGAACGCUAAUACCGCAUACGUCCUACGGGAGAAAGCAGGGGACCUUCGGGCCUUGCGCUAUCAGAUGAGCCUAGGUCGGAUUAGCUAGUUGGUGAGGUAAUGGCUCACCAAGGCGACGAUCCGUAACUGGUCUGAGAGGAUGAUCAGUCACACUGGAACUGAGACACGGUCCAGACUCCUACGGGAGGCAGCAGUGGGGAAUAUUGGACAAUGGGCGAAAGCCUGAUCCAGCCAUGCCGCGUGUGUGAAGAAGGUCUUCGGAUUGUAAAGCACUUUAAGUUGGGAGGAAGGGCAGUUACCUAAUACGUAAUUGUUUUGACGUUACCGACAGAAUAAGCACCGGCUAACUCUGUGCCAGCAGCCGCGGUAAUACAGAGGGUGCAAGCGUUAAUCGGAAUUACUGGGCGUAAAGCGCGCGUAGGUGGUUCGUUAAGUUGGAUGUGAAAUCCCCGGGCUCAACCUGGGAACUGCAUUCAAAACUGUCGAGCUAGAGUAUGGUAGAGGGUGGUGGAAUUUCCUGUGUAGCGGUGAAAUGCGUAGAUAUAGGAAGGAACACCAGUGGCGAAGGCGACCACCUGGACUGAUACUGAC
rnacentral:rRNA from 1 species